GAAGUUGCAGUGAGCCAAGAUUGAGAUUGUGCCACCGCACUCCAGCCUGGGCAACAAAGUGAGACUUUGUCUCAGAGAAAAAAAAAAAGAAGAAACAUAGACAAAAAGCUGGUAAGAAAAAUAUAGGGAAGAACUGCAAAUUAGUAAGGAAAAGACAAACAACCCAUUUGAAAAAAAGAGACCAAAACCGUGACCGGGGACUUCCUGAAAAGGACACCCACGCAGCCAACAAGCAGGGAAAUGCCAGUCAGGGCCACAGGAGCCCCUGCGUGCUGACAAGGAUGAACGCGUGAAAAGGCAGAUAUCCUUGUCAACAGGCGUGGGGGCUGUGGAGGAGCUGGCCCUGCCGUUUCCUGUUGCUGGGAACCUGGACUGUGCCGCCGCUUUGGAAAGCCAUUGGCACGAUUUGCAGAGUUGACCGCCUAUACCUUCUCACCCGGCAAUUCUACUCUCAGGUUAGUACCUUAGAUAAAGGGCUGCCAACGUUCAGAAAAUGACAAGCGUGCGAAAGUUCACGGCAGCUUGACUCCUAAGAAGCUGGAAACAGCUCAAAUGUCCCCAGUGGACGGGGCAGGCAAACUGUGACAUGAAGCCAGUGAAGGAGUCGCCGCUGGGGUCAGCAGCCUGGAUGAAACAGCGCGGUGGUGGGCUGAAGAAACAAGACACAGGAGGCUGCCUGAUUCCACGAGCCACGCUGAAUUUAGGCCGAGCAGCUCCCAGCUCCAUCUGUCCAGGGGACCCU
rnacentral:lncRNA from 1 species